CAUGUUUUAAAACAGGAAAAACACUUUAAUAUCCUUAAAUAUGUUAUAUUGUGUCGUGUAAUAAAAUAAAAAUGAAAAUAACAUACUCUAUUGGUAUUUUAAUAAUAUAUGCUUGUUUCCCGUUAUUUUCGGGUAUACAGUAUAAGCAGCAAUUAAAAUAUUCGAUAUAAAAUGUUUCUGGUUGCAACUUUUUAUUAAAAGGUUUGUUUUUAUCAAAUUCAGCAUCUAAGUCACUUCAUUUGCGAUUACAAACAAGGAAACACGGCGCACACGUCACUACGGCAAGCAGCAGGUGUCCGGCUUGACGGCUCCGUCUUCAGUUCCUCCCUCGACUGCAAGCGGCAAACCUCGCCGAUCGGUCUGCGCAGCGCCAGAUGAUCUCGAACACACCUUUUAUUAAAACCGCGUUCAGCUACAGGUAAAACAACAUUCAGAGGUGAUUUUAACAACGCUCCACGGCGCGUGAGAGUAAGCAUUUUAAGCGUUUUCUGAUCAUGUAGGUAAGUGCUUUUAUUAGACGUGAUGCAUGCUGGGUGGGAAAUUAUUUUUUAUCAAAGACUCGUUGAUGGCAAUUAAUAUAGAUAUGAAUAUACAUUUUGCAACCCUGUAUCACAUGAAAUACGUUCUGAGGAAACUAUUUUGCAAAUCGCAAUUACGUUACAUGCCAACAUAUAAGCAGUGCUAUUACGUUGGUCCUUAACCUAAUAUGACCCGUCACCAUGGACACAAGGGGUCGGAUAUCUAAAGUUAAAUAUUUUUAACUUACGCGUGAAAUGGUUGAUUUUAAAAAUAUAUAUAUUCAAAGUAAACAACAACAGCCCAGGUUUAGUAAACAUUUUUUUAUUGAAACUAUAAAUAAAUAUUCUGCAUCCAUUUUAGGUGUGCCACUGUGGGUGGCUCCCGCACACCCCCGUGGCUACGCCCCUGCCGUGACCCAAAUCUCGUUCUCACAUCAUCGCGAUGUUUAUCAUCUAUUUACAAACGUAGCCAGUCGCCUCAUCUUUUUUCUUCACAUACAUCUCAUACUCCUCCAUCUAAACGCUUCACAACAUUUAAACCAACGGCUCUUUUAAGAGCUAUCACUUGCAAAAGCUCUCCUCACUCACUCACUCACUCACUCUCCAACUCACUCACUCACUCACUCUCCAACUCACUCACUCACUCUCCAACUCACUCACUCACUCACUCUCCAACUCACUCACUCACUCACUCACUCACUCACUCACUCUCCUAUAGGGCUGUGCAAAAAAAUCGUCUGCAAUUCUCAUGCGUGUUUCAUCAGUAAAGCCGGUUCCGUGAUUAGAAGUAAAUCGCCAUCAGCUGCUUUCAGAUGGAGCGGCAUUUAUUACACAGACACGUAGUUCACCAAAAAGCUAGGCAAAAUUGCAUAGAUUAUCGGAGUCGAUUUUCCUCGAUUUGAACCCGAUUUUGCCUAGCUUCUCUGUGAACUACGUGUCUGUGUAAUAAAUGCCGCUCCAUCUGAUAGCAGCUGAUGGCGAUUUACUUCUAAUCUAAACGGAACCGGCUUUACUGAUGAAACACGCAUGAGAAUUGCAGACGAUUUUUUUUUGCACAGCCCUACUCUCCUACGCUUUCACACACGCGCACACACACUCUCUCACUCUCUGUUUGUCACUCUUUCAAUUUGUUUUGCCUAUUUCUAUUUGCAUUCUUCAUUCUUUCAAUAUGGCAUCUUCAGGUUUUGAUCAGUUAUGUCAGGAAGCUGCAACUAUUUCAAAGCAUCUUGAAAUGAAAGCUGACAAUGCUGAACUUGAAGCAGCUACCAGGGAGGCUGAAGAAAUUCUACAAAUGUUUAAUCCUACACUGCUGAAAAAGAAGACAAAACGAGUGAUUUCCUGGACUCAACAGACACAGUGAACUUUGCACUGCAUUUCAAAGCCAGCUUCUCAGCCGCAACACUGAGAACCAGAGUUGAAAUCAAUGUACUGCUGAGAAAGUGCAAGAUCUAUUUAACCAAAAAUAUAAGGAUGUCAUAGGUACCGGAAGGCUCCCCUACCAAUCCCUGGUAAAUCAUGGCAUGACAGUUAAAGUUGCAGGACUGCCCAACAGCCUCAAAAAGCCAUCCUAUUAUGGAAGGAACCAGUUGGAGGCCAUUUUGCAAGCUGCUGAGGAGAUUUCAUUUGAAAUCAAUGCAGCACAAUGCAAAUCCACUGACAAAGCAGAAGGAAUGUUAGAGGCGAUGGACGCAGAAGAGCUGGAAGAACAGUCCUCAGAAACAGCCACCGCUGUAGCUAUCGUGAUGACUGCAGAUUAAGAUGGAGGCCAUUUGUGCUGUGUCUGCCGCAUCCUUUUCGAUGACAGGAAGAAGAAUGCUUCAGAGAAGUGGUGUUCAUGGUCACAGUGCACAGUGUGCCAAUCAUGGUCACACACUGCAUGUCAAGACACCAUACAAACAACCUGUAGCGAUGCAUCAGUGAUAGAAAACAUGCUAGUUACACAAAAUGUUUUAUGUUUUAACUUUGAGUUGUUUUUAUUUUGUUCAUGACCCCAUCCCUACAAACACACACACACAUAUUUUUUUUUUAUGUAUUAGGUGCAAUUUAAUAUUUUUCAUGCAAAUGUAUUGUAAUGAUUACACUUAUAAGAAUAAAACAGAUUUUAAAUUCACUCUAA